AGCGAACGCUGGCGGCAGGCCUAACACAUGCAAGUCGAACGAACUCUUCGGAGUUAGUGGCGGACGGGUGAGUAACACGUGGGAACGUGCCUUUAGGUUCGGAAUAACUCAGGGAAACUUGUGCUAAUACCGAAUGUGCCCUUCGGGGGAAAGAUUUAUCGCCUUUAGAGCGGCCCGCGUCUGAUUAGCUAGUUGGUGAGGUAAAGGCUCACCAAGGCGACGAUCAGUAGCUGGUCUGAGAGGAUGAUCAGCCACAUUGGGACUGAGACACGGCCCAAACUCCUACGGGAGGCAGCAGUGGGGAAUCUUGCGAAAUGGGCGAAAGCCUGACGGAGCCAUGCCGCGUGAAUGAUGAAGGUCUUAGGAUUGUAAAAUUCUUUCACCGGGGACGAUAAUGACGGUACCCGGAGAAGAAGCCCCGGCUAACUUCGUG
rnacentral:rRNA from 1 species